AUUGAGUACUGCUAUUACAUUGAUUGUGGAGGUUUGGAAAAUAUUUCUGUCCUGCUUCAUUUCUACAGAUACAAGCUUUGAGUGACCCUUCAUUAACAGUGUGUGUGGAGGUGAGGGGUUGUGUCCUGGCAGAUUUGUGUCUCUCCUGCUGUGUCAUUGCCGCUUCAUAAACCUGAAGUGAGAUCUUUAUGUGCAAUGGGAGUCAGGGUUGCAGCCUGCCAGAGAUGAAAUGUUCCCCCUUAUUUUGCACCAGGGAGAACCUGUAGGUAGCUUGUCUCUGCCUUCAGACAUGAUUAUUCAUCGUGCUGCGACAUGGAGAGUUCUCUGGCAGGAGUCAGACGUUACCUCUGCAGGAAUGGGGACUGCUCGUGGGAACCAACAUCAGCACUCAGUGCCGUGGGGUGUACUCAAGUGAAGUUUUUACUUAUCAGAGUGAAGACCAGAGCCAAAAGAAAGUCAGGAGAAAACAAUAACAAAGCACUCACAUACAUGACAAUAGACAAGAUCUGUGCCUGGAAAUACCUUUUAUCUUCCCAUGGAGCUCUGUCUUAAUUAUUUCUGAAGAGAAAUAGUUUUAAAUUGAUCCAGGAGAACUUCACUAAUGAUAUAAUCAAACUUGCAUCUGUACUCUGUGCUUUGUGGCUGAACUAAUUUAAAUGCUAAAUGGGAAUCAAAGAAGUGACCAUUAUGCAUAUGAAGGAAUGAGUAGUUUUAAUCUUAUUUGCGUUGUGGGUUUUUGGAGCUAUUGAUUAAAGCGACCAACAGUCGAUAUUUGAUUCAGAGCAAAAUGCCAUAUCUUAUGACACAUAUCACAAGUCAGAUUCUUGCUAUAAUUUCUAACCUCAAUUUUAAAUACUGUCAGCAUCAUCUAGAAUUAGAAAAAAGAACAACUCAUCACCAUACCGAUUGAACAAAAAAAAAUGCCGCAUGAUUUAAAUACCUAUAGCUGCAUCAUUUACCCAGUUUUAUGCUUUCAUUUUGCUAAGCAUGAGGUUGAUGAUUAAAUUGAUGCAUAAUUAUUAGCAACACAGAGACUGUUGUCACAUCGCAUGGUUUUCUGACCAGGUGCAGGCUUCUCAGAUUCAGUCGGAGCCUGUCUGUCAGUUUCCUGAACAAUCCAGCAAAAUAAGUGAUGAUUUCCUGUUAUCAUCACAGAAGCAGUUUUCAGCAGAUUGUCACAGUAAACCUCCUUUUCUGAAUAGUGUAAUGAACAUUCUGGUGUUUGCAAAAGCAUUUUUUUAUAUACACACAUGUAUAUAGUCUGAAUGUAAAAGCAUUAACAGUCUGAUCCUGGUAUCUGUCUCUCCAGCUCCUUAUCUGCAUCCUUUCAUUAAUAUCUGUCUAUUUUACUCAAAUGUCAAAGUCAAUCAAGCACUCUGUGGUCAUGCAAACAGAACAGAAGCACAGCCUGCUAAAUUAACCCAAUGUGAUGAGGACUUUCAAAGAUUAAAUUUCUUUGCUCUGCUCCUCCAAGAACACACUUCGGAGUUUAGAUGGCUGGUUCAUUAAGUAUGCACCCACAUCUUGAGCUUAUGCAGGACAAUGCAGGCUGUACACUGAAAGAGCAACCUUUUGCAUCAGCUAGAUCAGACUAAAUAGAUAUAUAGGGUAAGUAUACAAUCUAAAAAUAAAGAUAGUUCAGCAGGAAGAGAAACA
ensembl:lncRNA